UCCUAGUUAGUACAACGGUUAGUAUAUGUCGCUCUCACCGACAAGACCCGGGUUCGACUCCCGGAUUGGGAA
rnacentral:tRNA from 1 species